rnacentral:rRNA from 1 species
GAGCUCUCCCAUAUGGUCGACCUGCAGGCGGCCGCGAAUUCACUAGUGAUUCGUAUUACCGCGGCUGCUGGCACAGAGUUAGCCGGUGCUUAUUCUCUCGGUCGCCAUGACAGCAACGUAUUAGGUUACUGCCCUUCCUCCCCUUAAAGUGCUUUACAAUCCGAAGACCUUCUUCACACACGCGGCAUGGCUGGAUCAGGCUUUCGCCCAUUGUCCAAUAUUCCCCACUGCCGCCUCCCGUAGGAGUCUGGACCGUGUCUCAGUUCCAGUGUGACUGGUCAUCCUCUCAGACCAGUUACGGAUCGUCGCCUUGGUGAGCCAUUACCUCACCAACUAGCUAAUCCGACCUAGGCUCAUCUGAUAGCGCAAGGCCCGAAGGUCCCCUGCUUUCUCCCGUAGGACGUAUGCGGUAUUAGCGUCCGUUUCCGAGCGUUAUCCACUACCAGGCAGAUUCCUAGGCAUUACUCACCCGUCCGCCGCUCUCAAGAGAAGCAAGCUUCUCUCUACCGCUCGACUUGCAUGUGUUAGGCCUGCCGCCAGCGUUCAAUCUGAGCCAUGAUCAAACUCUAAUCGAAUUCCCGCGGCCGCCAUGGCGGCCGGGAGCA